rnacentral:rRNA from 2 species
GACGAACGCUGGCGGCGUGCUUAACACAUGCAAGUCGAACGGAAAGCCCCUUUCGGGGGGACUCGAGUGGCGAACGGGUGAGUAACACGUGGGUGAUCUGCCCUGCACUUUGGGAUAAGCCUGGGAAACUGGGUCUAAUACCGAAUACACCUUGCUGGUCGCAUGGCCUGGUGAGGGAAAGCUUUUGCGGUGUGGGAUGGGCCCGCGGCCUAUCAGCUUGUUGGUGGGGUGAUGGCCUACCAAGGCGACGACGGGUAGCCGGCCUGAGAGGGUGUCCGGCCACACUGGGACUGAGAUACGGCCCAGACUCCUACGGGAGGCAGCAGUGGGGAAUAUUGCACAAUGGGCGCAAGCCUGAUGCAGCGACGCCGCGUGAGGGAUGACGGCCUUCGGGUUGUAAACCUCUUUCAGCAUCGACGAAGCGCAAG